rnacentral:rRNA from 1 species
CCCUUAGACGUUCUGGGCCGCACGCGCGCUACACUGACCAGUGCAACAAGCAUCCGUCCUUGGCCGACAGGCCCGGGCAAUCUUUGAACGCUGGUCGUGAUGGGGAUAGACUUUUGCAAUUUUUGGUCCUCAACGAGGAAUUCCUAGUAAACGCAAGUCAUCAACUUGCAUUGAUUACGUCCCUGCCCUUUGUACACACCGCCCGUCGCACCUACCGAUUGAAUGGUCCGGUGAAGCCUCCGGAUUGGCGCGCACCUCGGUGCCGCCGAGAAGUUGGCUAAACCUUACCAUUUAGAGGAAGGUGAANUCGUAACA